UGACUUUGGAGUAUUGAAUAGAGACAGCAGAACCUGUGAGUAUGCAUGACAUCGAGGACGAGUUUGCUCGGAACGAAGCCCUGGCUGGAUGCAGCUGUGGGUCACUUGAGGGCGGGGUAGGGCUGCUGCUGAAAUUCUAAUCAGGGGAGAUUGUGAAGUGAUGAGCAAGAGGACGACAAAUAGAUUUUACGUGCUCCCUUCCUAGAACUUAUCGAUCGUUGUUACAACUUCUCAGUCAGCAGGGAUAUUCGGGAAUACGUAAUGUGCCGCCAGUGCGGCCGAGGGAGUGGCUGUGGAGGAUCCGACAUUCUCGUGGUGUCCCGGUUUUGUCGCGUUUAUGUAUGAUAAUAAUGAACAUGUAUGAUUUUAUGAAGUAGGGGGUUAUAGCUUCACUCGUGGCCACUGGCAGUCCCUACCGCGGGAAGCACCGUCCCCGAUGUUUCAGGGCAUCCUCAUCCUUCUGCCGACGAGGAGGGUAUGGGGAACGUGUGUACAUACAUGCAUGUCAAUGCUUUUGAAUGGUUCCUUUGUUAUGUGCCAUAGAUACGUAUUAAUGGGCAGCUGAAGCCGGUACCUCUCUGGCCUUCCCAAUGCCCUCUAACCCGG
rnacentral:lncRNA from 1 species